GUAUAUGUAGAAGGUAUGAAACCUCUCCUGUCUGUCAAGCUCCAAACCAGUUCAGGUAUAUGUAGAAGGUAUGAAACCUCCCCUCUCUGUCCUGUUCCAAACCAGUUCAGGUAUAUGUAGAAGGUAUGAAACCUCUCCUCUCUGUCCUGUUCCAAACCAGUUCAGGUAUAUGUAGAAGGUAUGAAACCUCUCCUCUCUGUCCUGCUCCAAACCAGUUCUGGUAUAUAUAGAAGGUAUGAAACCUCUCCUCUCUGUCCUGCUCCAAACCAGUUCUGGUAUAUAUAGAAGGUAUGAAACCUCUCCUCUCUGUCCUGCUCCAAACCAGUUCAGGUAUAUGUAGAAGGUAUGAAACCUCCCCUCUCUGUCCUGAAACCUCCCCUCUCUGUCCUGCUCCAAACCAGUUCAGGUAUAUGUAGAAGGUAUGGAACCUCCCCUCUCUGUCCUGUUCCAAACCAGUUCAGGUAUAUGUAGAAGGUAUGAAACCUCUCCUCUCUGUCCUGUUCCAAACCAGUUCAGGUAUAUGUAGAAGGUAUGAAACCUCUCCUCUCUGUCCUGAAACCUCUCCUCUCUGUCCUGAAACCUCUCCUCUCUGUCCUGCUCCAAACCAGUUCAGGUAUAUGUAGAAGGUAUGGCACCUCCCCUCUCUGUCCUGUUCCAAACCAGUUCAGGUAUAUGUAGAAGGUAUGAAACCUCUCCUCUCUGUCCUGAAACCUCUCCUCUCUGUCCUGAAACCUCUCCUCUCUGUCCUGUUCCAAACCAGUUCAGGUAUAUGUAGAAGGUAUGGAACCUCCCCUCUCUGUCCUGUUCCAAACCAGUUCAGGUAUAUGUAGAAGGUAUGAAACCUCCCCUCUCUGUCCUGAAACCUCCCCUCUCUGUCCUGAAACCUCCCCUCUCUGUCCUGAAACCUCCCCUCUCUGUCCUGAAACCUCCCCUCUCUGUCCUGUUCCAAACCAGUUCAGGUAUAUGUAGAAGGUAUGAAACCUCUCCUCUCUGUCCUGUUCCAAACCAGUUCAGGUAUAUGUAGAAGGUAUUAAACCUCUCCUUUCUGUCAAGCUCCAAACCAGUUCAGGUAUAUGUAGAAGGUAUGAAACCUCCCCUCUCUGUCCUGUUCCAAACCAGUUCAGGUAUAUGUAGAAGGUAUGAAACCUCUCCUCUCUGUCCUGUUCCAAACCAGUUCAGGUAUAUGUAGAAGGUAUGAAACCUCUCCUCUCUGUCCUGCUCCAAACCAGUUCUGGUAUAUAUAGAAGGUAUGAAACCUCUCCUCUCUGUCCUGCUCCAAACCAGUUCAGGUAUAUGUAGAAGAUAUGAAACCUCCCCUCUCUGUCCUGAAACCUCCCCUCUCUGUCCUGCUCCAAACCAGUUCAGGUAUAUGUAGAAGGUAUGGAACCUCCCCUCUCUGUCCUGUUCCAAACCAGUUCAGGUAUAUGUAGAAGGUAUGAAACCUCUCCUCUCUGUCCUGAAACCUCUCCUCUCUGUCCUGAAACCUCUCCUCUCUGUCCUGCUCCAAACCAGUUCUGGUAUAUGUAGAAGGUAUGAAACCUCUCCUCUCUGUCCUGUUCCAAACCGGUUCAGGUAUAUGUAGAAGGUAUGGAACCUCCCCUCUCUGUCCUGUUCCAAACCAGUUCAGGUAUAUGUAGAAGGUAUGAAACCUCCCCUCUCUGUCCUGCUCCAAACCAGUUCAGGUAUAUAUAGAAGGUAUGAAACCUCUCCUCUCUGUCCUGAAACCUCUCCUCUCUGUCCUGAAACCUCCCCUCUCUGUCCUGCUCCAAACCAGUUCAGGUAUAUGUAGAAGGUAUGAAACCUCUUCUCUCUGUCCUGUUCCAAACCAGUUCUGGUAGGAUCUACAGCGCAAGGAAUGAUGGCCUGUGUCCUAACAUGGCUUGGCCAUCCUACACACACACACACACACA